GAUAUUCAUAAUGUGGGACCUUUAAAUCCAAGAUGAAUCAGCAUGGCUCUUAUCCCGUCUCUCUUCCUCUUCUCUAUGGGGCAAUCUGGCUGGUCAGGAUGGAUGAUUGAAAGAUGCUGGGGGCAAGACAUGUUUCAGCAUUAAAGCUGAAAAAGUGACUGAAAUAUGAAGGAGCUCUGCGACACAGGUGCCAUGGCGAGUCUAAGAAUCAAUUUUGGAGCUGCAAGAAGAAGACAAAUCAAGCUGUGCUGUGUUGGCUUCUUUUCCACUAACGGUUUUACUGCGCUGAGUUGAGCCGAGACCUUUCCUCUGCGAGGGCCGCGGCGACAUUUUGCAACUGCGGCUGAUUCCUGACACCACACUUUACCUUCUUAAACAAGCCUGUGUUGCGUACUCAACUCAUGUCUGUGCCUUCAACCAAAACAACGCUGCAGACUUGAGGAGUGCCGCUCACGUACCGUCCAGUCUGCUUUAUCCUGUCUCUGUGGCAUUUUGAUUCAUUAUAAGCUCUGCUAAAAUACUUCAAAAAGUUUGCUUUUGUUGGUAAAAGUGUUAUUUUCUGCAGAUCGUAUUGUUAAGAGGACCUCCAAGUUCAAUAUGUAAUACGUCUGUGAUGAUAAUGGUUCGUUGUAAAGUAAUUCAUCGACCUCACCUCGUAUCAUGACUUUGCUACUGUAGCUUGGUUGUAGCUUCAUAAGUAAUGCAGUGUGACUUCCUUGCCUUACAUGAGCUGAAUGAUUCCUUUCUGUAUUUUGUCUUUUUCUGGAGCUUGUCACUACGCAGUUGCCUGUGAGAGUAUUAAUAUGAAU